UCGGACUUGGUGAAGGUGGACACCACAGACAUAAUAAGAAAAGAACACAGAAGAGAAGAAUAUCCGGUCAGCUCCCUGCAGAAGUUAAAUGUGAAAAGAGCUAAAGAGGUGUGCCUGGCAAGUACAAGCAGGAGAGGACAGACGCAGAUACUGCCGGAAAAAUCCUCAAAGUUUAUUGUUAUUAUUGUUAGCAAGAUAACACAACUGUAGAUUUCUCUUCUCUGCAACCAUGGAGGGGGUAAUCAUUACAGUGACACAGAGCAUCCUGGUAUCGUUGCCUCACUCAGAUUGCUUAGAGGCCACAAAAACCUCAAAGGACCAGCCGGACCCUGACAAGCUCAAUGUGCUCAUAGAUGCUGUGUGAUAAACCAGUUUCCAAAUCCCAUAGUGUCUGCAGUUGCAGAAAAUGCAACGAGUCCUACUCAAAGAUAACCGACCCUCCACUCCAAGGAUAAGGAUUGUGACAUUUUUCAGUAUCAGUUUGGAUCCACCAUUUGUACUGUAUGCUUCCUUCACUACAGUUGAAUAAGCGCUUGGACUGCCAUACCAACGAGCCUGGCUCUUUGCCUUUGCUUUCAAAGUUGCAUGUUUGGUACCCUGUAGACCUGUGUUUGAAUAUGGGUAGGGUGACCGCUCUCGCCUUUGGCCGCAUAUGGUGUCAGGAGUGGGAUGGCUUGCUGUGAGGUCAUCUGAGCUGUGCCCAGUGUCCGAACCGCAUGAGAGACCCCCAUGGGUAGCAUUGAUGAUGGGAUGUGUAUAGUGUACUUUUCAGUAAUACUGAUCAUAUGUCAUCAUUUUACUGAUUUUAUUUUAUUUGAAGGUGUUUUGGUCAAGUUGUGAUACUUGCUGCUAUACCUUCUAAUGUACAAGAAUUUAUUUUUGUAAUGUACACAAAAUUAAAGUUUUUUAGUUGUC